GCGCGGAACAGCGCAGUAGUGCUGGUUGCAUAUGCACAAGAAAAGGGGAUGGUACUUGCAAAGACACACCCGCCUCCCCCCUUACGCCCUCCGAGAGAGAACAGCUGAAAGUGCUUUUUUGAACAGUGUGUCCAAAGAUGUUCGAGUGGUAACAUCCGUAUUUUCCAAUACAUUUUAACGCAAGUAAUAAACAAUAUUGCAGGCUGAAAAGUGUUGUGUUUUAAUGUUUCUUUCAACAUAUUAACUGAGGCAUUAGUUUUAAUUUCAAGUGUGAUGGUGUUCACAGCACUAAGAGAACACUAUACCAGUUACGUAGCAAAUAAGUCACAGUUAAAUACAACCAGAAAACUGAAGAUUUACACGGUGACUUUAGCAAAAACUUUUUCGGUGCAGAGAAGAAAUCGUAAUACAACUUUUGUUCCUAAUACAACCAAAAUAAGAAUAACACAAAACUUAUUACUGGAGCGUGUGAAGGAGAGGAACGAGUGAGAAUAAGCCGUCUAUGACAGGCGGCUAAUCCUGAGUUAACAUAUUAAUACAACUUAGUUACAAACAAAUCAUUACAACCGGCUAUUAAAAUUAUUGCUAAAUUCAAGUGAAGAAACUCAUAAAGACUAUUUUAAUAGUGCGCUUUUCCCCUUUAAGAUCAAGAAUGCAAACACAGACAACACUUUCUUCAAACAAUCUUAUGUUGUGAUACGGCGAGGAAAUAAAUGGCUUAUAAUAAGACAUUAAUACAAAGGACACGCGCGCAGAGUUACGAUGCAGAGGAAAGACUUUCUAGUAAGAAAAAGAAGGUAAAGAUUAUGAAAUAAUCUGUUCAAAAUUCUAGCCACAACAGUUACGAGAUUUCCUGUACAGACGAAAGCUCUGCUACAUUUUUCAUCAAAAACAAACUUGACUUGGCAACAAAGAUAUUUCUUCUUCCGUAUUCCGUCACCAUCUCAUCAUUCUACUGGAGAUGUAAGGCGCUGAACGUCCAGCAAGAUGUAUCGUGGGCUGUGCCAACCUCGGCGGCUAACCCGGAAGUACAGCGAACACUCGAGACGUAAGAAGACAAAAGCCACCAUUUAAUCACCGAAGGUCUACCGUAUGGCGUCAUAAUGACGACGACCGAGAAGAAACGGCCGACAAUGGGUGAAGACUGCGGGAAGUAAAAAUAAAUCAAAAAUCAGCUCAUCCGCCAUUCACAGAAAGUGUCGGAAUGAAAAAAAAUCUAAUGACUAGGGUGACAAUUUAUUAUAUCCGGAGCACCACAAACUAGCAUUUUUUUUUUACAAGAUGCCAUUCGCCUGUGCCAGUGUCUUUAAGAAAUAAAGUCUUCGAAACGGAAGUAUUUCCGUAUCAUAAAAGACGUCUAAACAUCUGAAUUAAAUAUUCUUCAUUGUGACGCGUAAUAUUUCAUACUGAGCAUAAGUGUGUAUCCAUUAACCAAAAAAAAAAAAAAAACGACAUCACCGGUAAACUUUCCACGUCUGAAACUCGUAAAAUGUACAUCGGCGAAUGUCAUAUUCGCCCUGCCACAGAUUUAAAAUCUAAGAGCUAAAAACAGACACAGAAGAACUGAUUAAUAAAAGAUCUAUUAAUAAGCCCCCUUGUUACCAUCUGCUUCUGUCUUCGCUAGAUAGCAAAUAGCCACUAAAAGUAACCAGUAAAAUAUAAAAAAAAAGUUAGUUUUGUUAGUAGUCGCUCAAAGAGAGAAACAAAAAUUAUGCAGCGAAUAUUACUUUUUUGAAUACAAGCCAAAUAAUUUAAAAAAAACAUGGACGUAAUUUAUUAUCUGACAGCUGAUACUUCACGUCCGCCUCAUCGGAUGUAACCACGAAAGAGGAAACAGAUGAAGCAUCAUCACACCGCCUCACCAAUUCAGUAUUACAUCUUGUGAUGGCCAGGUAGUGUACGACACGACGUCGCAAGACAAAACACUGUGCUACAACUAACUAACAUCGUUUGCGAAUCUUACUGGCGAAAUAUCCAGCCUGAAAUAAACAAUCAUGCCAAACCAGUGGGUUUUUUUUAUUUCAGUGACAGCCACGAAAUAAUAUAAACAAGGAAAUAAAGUGUGAAUGAAGAUAAAUUAAGAUUACUUUUAUUUGUUAAGACCUCGGUUUACUGAACUAAACACAUAAUCCAAAGAAGAUAAAUUACACGUGCUGGCUUCUUGUCGUCGUAAAAUUUCUCAUCAUCAUUCCACAGUGAAAGUAAAUUUAUUCAAAGAUAAUAAACAUUAAAGGUACGUUGAACAAACACAGUUCACAAUAUCACAGCACAUCUGAGCAGGAAUCAACGAAAUAAUUAACCGCUAGAAAAGUUACGACUUGUGGUCAAUAAAACACAUGCACGUCCGUUGCAGACUACAAAAUUACGAGCCUUGAUUUAAAAAACAAAAUAGUAAACAGAGAAUUUAAUAGGAAAGGUCUGUGUUCUAAUCAGUUACAUCGAAAAGAUAAUUACAUUGAGAAUCAUACGUCUGUAAAAGUUGCGGGCAGUGGCGUGCUAAUGCUGCGAAAUGGUGACACCUUCUUCACGGAGACAAUAAAAUAUCGUCAAUGAUGCACACAAUUUGGAAUUUGGACGUUAUUACGCAACAGAACUGUCAAAAACUGGCCGACGUAUGAAACUGUGUAAUUUAGCAACCCAAAA